UACGUAGGGUGCAAGCGUUGUCCGGAAUUAUUGGGCGUAAAGAGCUCGUAGGCGGUCUGUCGCGUCGAAUGUGAAAACCCGGGGCUCAACCCCGGGCCUGCAUUCGAUACGGGCAGACUAGAGUUCGGUAGGGGAGUCUGGAAUUCCUGGUGGAGCGGUGAAAUGCGCAGAUAUCAGGAGGAACACCGGUGGCGAAGGCGGGGCUCUGGGCCGAUACUGACGCUGAGGAGCGAAAGCGUGGGGAGCGAACAGG
rnacentral:rRNA from 1 species